CUGUUAGAAUCGACGAGACCCAAAGCUGCACUGUUGCUGCCAGUGCCAGAGAAAGAGGAGCCAUGUACCUGCCCACCGUGACGACCAUCACCCUGCUGUUAACCCUCCAAGCCUUCAGGGGCGCUUACCUUCAGCUCCCAGGAGACGACGGACAGGAUGACGUCAGCUCCGGCGAGUUACUCUCGGGCAUGGAAGACGAAGGGUACCGUUCUCAGAACGUUUCAGAGAUCUCUGGGGAUGGGGCCACCGACUCUUCACUAGGACCCUUCGCUGGCAUACUCCCAGUCCAGUUCAACGAUACCAAUGGAAAUGACACCAGAAUGUCACCCAUGGAAAACUUCAUGCAGGAAAGUGCUGCUCUCACUGGCUGGAUGAACAACAGCAGCACAGGGGAUAAUACAAACAGCACUAAUGUGCUGGACUUGUCCCAAAGCCAAAACAAUACUUGGCUUUAGGGCUUUUAAGCCCCAAUAAUACAGGGAUUAACAACUCAGUGAAACCUAGUUAAAAGUACUUUAUUUAAUUCAAAUGAAUGGAAAUUUGCACUGCUACUCUUUAAUUUAGCUGAUUCACUGUGCUUUUGGGUAUACUUUAAAAUUAAUCAACUCAUCUGUCAAACUAUAACCUGAGAUAAGGCAGACCCAAAAUUGGAAAAGACGGUAAUCUUGAAAUGUCGAAGCAUAAUAAAGUUGUAAUUUGAAGGA